rfam:Pseudomonas syringae pv. pisi str. 1704B contig108.2, whole genome shotgun sequence.
GGUCAAGUGAAGAAGCGCAUACGGUGGAUGCCUUGGCAGUCAGAGGCGAUGAAAGACGUGGUAGCCUGCGAAAAGCUUCGGGGAGUCGGCAAACAGACUGUGAUCCGGAGAUAUCUGAAUGGGGGAACCCAGCCAUCAUAAGAUGGUUAUCUUGUACUGAAUACAUAGGUGCAAGAGGCGAACCAGGGGAACUGAAACAUCUAAGUACCCUGAGGAAAAGAAAUCAACCGAGAUUCCCUUAGUAGUGGCGAGCGAACGGGGACCAGCCCUUAAGUUGUAUUGAGAUUAGCGGAACGUUCUGGAAAGGACGGCCAUAGUGGGUGAUAGCCCUGUACGCGAAAAUCCUUUUGCAAUGAAAUCGAGUAGGACGGGGCACGAGAAACCUUGUCUGAAUAUGGGGGGACCAUCCUCCAAGGCUAAAUACUACUGACUGACCGAUAGUGAACCAGUACCGUGAGGGAAAGGCGAAAAGAACCGCGGAGAGCGGAGUGAAAUAGAUCCUGAAACCGUAUGCGUACAAGCAGUGGGAGCCCACUUUGUUGGGUGACUGCGUACCUUUUGUAUAAUGGGUCAGCGACUUAUUUUCAGUGGCGAGCUUAACCGAAUAGGGGAGGCGUAGCGAAAGCGAGUCUUAAUAGGGCGUCUAGUCGCUGGGAAUAGACCCGAAACCGGGCGAUCUAUCCAUGGGCAGGUUGAAGGUUGGGUAACACUAACUGGAGGACCGAACCGACUACCGUUGAAAAGUUAGCGGAUGACCUGUGGAUCGGAGUGAAAGGCUAAUCAAGCUCGGAGAUAGCUGGUUCUCCUCGAAAGCUAUUUAGGUAGCGCCUCAUGUAUCACUGUAGGGGGUAGAGCACUGUUUCGGCUAGGGGGUCAUCCCGACUUACCAAACCGAUGCAAACUCCGAAUACCUACAAGUGCCGAGCAUGGGAGACACACGGCGGGUGCUAACGUCCGUCGUGAAAAGGGAAACAACCCAGACCGUCAGCUAAGGUCCCAAAGUCAUGGUUAAGUGGGAAACGAUGUGGGAAGGCUUAGACAGCUAGGAGGUUGGCUUAGAAGCAGCCACCCUUUAAAGAAAGCGUAAUAGCUCACUAGUCGAGUCGGCCUGCGCGGAAGAUGUAACGGGGCUCAAACCAUGCACCGAAGCUACGGGUAUCAUCUUUUGAUGAUGCGGUAGAGGAGCGUUCUGUAAGCCUGUGAAGGUGAGUUGAGAAGCUUGCUGGAGGUAUCAGAAGUGCGAAUGCUGACAUGAGUAACGACAAUGGGUGUGAAAAACACCCACGCCGAAAGACCAAGGUUUCCUGCGCAACGUUAAUCGACGCAGGGUUAGUCGGUCCCUAAGGCGAGGCUGAAAAGCGUAGUCGAUGGAAAACAGGUUAAUAUUCCUGUACUUCUGGUUAUUGCGAUGGAGGGACGGAGAAGGCUAGGCCAGCCUGGCGUUGGUUGUCCAGGUUUAAGGUGGUAGGCUGAGAUCUUAGGUAAAUCCGGGAUCUUAAGGCCGAGAGCUGAUGACGAGUGUUCUUUUAGAACACGAAGUGGUUGAUGCCAUGCUUCCAAGAAAAGCUUCUAAGCUUCAGGUAACCAGGAACCGUACCCCAAACCGACACAGGUGGUUGGGUAGAGAAUACCAAGGCGCUUGAGAGAACUCGGGUGAAGGAACUAGGCAAAAUGGCACCGUAACUUCGGGAGAAGGUGCGCCGGUGGAGGUGAAGCAUUUACUGCGUAAGCCCCUGCCGGUCGAAGAUACCAGGCCGCUGCGACUGUUUAUUAAAAACACAGCACUCUGCAAACACGAAAGUGGACGUAUAGGGUGUGACGCCUGCCCGGUGCCGGAAGGUUAAUUGAUGGGGUUAGCGCAAGCGAAGCUCUUGAUCGAAGCCCCGGUAAACGGCGGCCGUAACUAUAACGGUCCUAAGGUAGCGAAAUUCCUUGUCGGGUAAGUUCCGACCUGCACGAAUGGCGUAACGAUGGCGGCGCUGUCUCCACCCGAGACUCAGUGAAAUUGAAAUCGCUGUGAAGAUGCAGUGUAUCCGCGGCUAGACGGAAAGACCCCGUGAACCUUUACUAUAGCUUUGCACUGGACUUUGAAUUUGCUUGUGUAGGAUAGGUGGGAGGCUUUGAAGCGUGGACGCCAGUCUGCGUGGAGCCAACCUUGAAAUACCACCCUGGCAACUUUGAGGUUCUAACUCAGGUCCGUUAUCCGGAUCGAGGACAGUGUAUGGUGGGUAGUUUGACUGGGGCGGUCUCCUCCUAAAGAGUAACGGAGGAGUACGAAGGUGCGCUCAGACCGGUCGGAAAUCGGUCGUAGAGUAUAAAGGCAAAAGCGCGCUUGACUGCGAGACAGACACGUCGAGCAGGUACGAAAGUAGGUCUUAGUGAUCCGGUGGUUCUGUAUGGAAGGGCCAUCGCUCAACGGAUAAAAGGUACUCCGGGGAUAACAGGCUGAUACCGCCCAAGAGUUCAUAUCGACGGCGGUGUUUGGCACCUCGAUGUCGGCUCAUCACAUCCUGGGGCUGAAGCCGGUCCCAAGGGUAUGGCUGUUCGCCAUUUAAAGUGGUACGCGAGCUGGGUUUAGAACGUCGUGAGACAGUUCGGUCCCUAUCUGCCGUGGACGUUUGAGAUUUGAGAGGGGCUGCUCCUAGUACGAGAGGACCGGAGUGGACGAACCUCUGGUGUUCCGGUUGUCACGCCAGUGGCAUUGCCGGGUAGCUAUGUUCGGAAAAGAUAACCGCUGAAAGCAUCUAAGCGGGAAACUUGCCUCAAGAUGAGAUCUCACUGGAACCUUGAGUUCCCUAAAGGGCCGUCGAAGACUACGACGUUGAUAGGUUGGGUGUGUAAGCGCUGUGAGGCGUUGAGCUAACCAAUACUAAUUGCCCGUGAGGCUUGACCAU